rnacentral:sRNA from 1 species
GCAGCGGCAAAAUCCGUUGUCGGGAUUGGUCUCCCGCACCGAAAUGAGCACAACACGCGCUCGCGUGUUUUUU